rnacentral:pre_miRNA from 10 species
GCGGCUCUUGCCCAGUGGGGUUAAUAUAUCUCGCUGGGGCCUCCAAAUUGUUGUACCCAAGCGAGUUAGAAAAAUGCCACACUUUGAGAUGAACUAAGUGUCCUUUAUUAG